rnacentral:rRNA from 1 species
GACGAACGCUGGCGGCGUGCUUAACACAUGCAAGUCGAACGGAAAGGCCCUGCUUUUGUGGGGUGCUCGAGUGGCGAACGGGUGAGUAACACGUGAGUAACCUGCCCUUGACUUUGGGAUAACUUCAGGAAACUGGGGCUAAUACCGGAUAAGAGCUCCUGCUGCAUGGUGGGGGUUGGAAAGUUUCGGCGGUUGGGGAUGGACUCGCGGCUUAUCAGCUUGUUGGUGGGGUAGUGGCUUACCAAGGCUUUGACGGGUAGCCGGCCUGAGAGGGUGACCGGCCACAUUGGGACUGAGAUACGGCCCAGACUCCUACGGGAGGCAGCAGUGGGGAAUAUUGCACAAUGGGCGGAAGCCUGAUGCAGCAACGCCGCGUGCGGGAUGACGGCCUUCGGGUUGUAAACCGCUUCCGCCUGUGACGAAGCGUGAGUGACGGUAAUGGGUAAAGAAGCACCGGCUAACUACGUG